rnacentral:lncRNA from 10 species
GAACAUUUAGUUUUUGAUAGUGAGGUCGGCCAGCCUUCAGGACAGAAUGGGGCAAAGGGUUUGAGCAUCAUUCUGAGACUCCAACAUGACAGCCACAGGCACCGACCUUGAGCCGGUCCAGUGCAGUGCAGUGCAGCCCAUAAGCCCCUUGGCUUCCACUAGACCAGGACACCUCCCUCUCACCCAGCCUCCCCUUGCUCUCACCCUUUGGCCAGCGAAACCUUAAAGUCAACACUCUUGUCUUCCAGAAAUUGCUCAUCCACAGGGAGGUCACAUAGUUUUGCCCCAGCCACAUUCAGAAUUAACCCAUCCUUCAAGUUUCCCCACCUGUAGGGCAGGAAGGAAAUCAGGCGUGGGUGCUGGAAGCAUCAGCAGCUCACGUGGGGUCAGGGGAGGAGGGCUCACCGGUACAACUUCCUUCUCUCUUCCAGCUCCUCUUCCUGGUGUUUCUGGAACAGGCCUCGAGGGUCGUCGCCCACAGUACGGCCUAGAAGGCCAGAGGAGGGCUUGGCCAGUGACUUUUGGUGAGCGCCUCUUCUCGCCCCUGCCAGGAGAGCCUCAUCACUCCGUCCUUCUGUGUGACCCCUGCCUCUUCAGCAUCACGCCCCUCCCCCAGGCUCCAGCCACUUUGUGCCAGCUGCAGCCACAGCCCCUUCGACACUCCCAAAGAGCCCUGCGCUCCAGGUUCCAGCACCCCCAUCCUGCGCCCUCUUCUCCACACGCGCAUCCCCCCAGCUUCUCUCGCACCCCAGAGGCCUCCUGACACCCCCAGCCCCGCGCUUACUGGUGCCUUCAGGCAGGCUCAGGACGCCGUCGACCUCCACCCAGCGGUAACAAGGGAACCUGACCUCGUCCCCGGCUCCGGGGCCCUACACGGAGAUCCAGCUGCAGAACCUGAAGGAAGUGACGUUUGCGCAGUUUCACAAACAUCAGCGGCCCCAGGUGAUAAAGCCUGAAAGGUAGAGAUCCAACAGCGCUAGCGGUUGAAACGUUUUUUAAAAUAGAGAAAGCGAGAGGACCGACGGCGGCUCCGGUGACUGCUGAGUUUCCAGACAAGGGAGCUCUGUGCAAUGAGGGGCGCACAGGAGCAUGCCCUCAAUUCCAAGAAGAUCAGGUAACCCUCUUCCAUGACUGUUCCUUAAAGUGGUGCGCUGUCCCAGUAGACCAUGCUCUAGCUUUCCAAGCUGCUAGAACUGUCAGUGUUUCUCAGCCUUGGCACUAUUGACAUUUUGGGACCAGUGAUUCUUCAUCGUUGGCAGAGGGGAGGGUGUUGACCUGUGCACUGUAGGAUGUCAGGUGGCAUCCCCGGACUCUACCCGCUAGGUGCCAGUAGCACCUAAUGUGCCACCCACCCCCUCCCAACAACUUUUCAACCAAACUAAAAUGUCUCUAGAGGUUGCCAUAUAUCCUCUGGGGGACAAAAUCACACUUAGUUGAGAACCACUGUCCCACAUUCUACACACAGAAGCCAAAAGGAUAUUUUUUAAAUGUAAAUGGCAUCAUGUCGUUCCCCUGUUGGAAACCCUUCAAUGUUUUCCUGUUGACCUUAGAAUAAUCUCAAAUUCCUUACUGUGGCUUAGAAGACCUUCUGUGGACUGGCCCCUGCUUGCUUUUAACUCCUCUCUUCCGUUCUGCUUCCAUGUCUAUAUAAUUGCUUCUCUCUCACUCCAGCCACACUGGCCUUCUUUCUGUUCCUUGAACAUUCAAAGCUGGUUCCCAUCCACCCUUUGUAUUUGCUGUUCUUCUGCCUAGAAUGCACCUGUUCCAGAUCACUGUUCAUUCACACAUAUCUCAGAUUACAUGUUAACUAAUCAGCAAGGCCUUCCCUGACCAUUUUAUCAAAAGAAGCCACUUACUUCCAUUCUCUAUCACAUUACCCAUGUAUUUCCUUCAUAGUGCUAAUCACAAUAGAAAAUUGUCUUGUUUCAUCAUUGCUUGUCUGCCUUUUCA